rnacentral:rRNA from 1 species
GGAUAUGCACAAUGGGGGAAACCUGCAUGCAGCUAUACCGCGUGUGUGAUGAAGGUCUUAGGAUUGUAAAACACUUUCAGCAAGGGAAAAAAUUAAUAUAAAUAAUACUUAUAUUAACUGAUAUUACCUGCAAAAGAAGUACCGGCUAACUCCGUGCCAGCAGCCGCGGUAAUACGGAGGGUACAAGCGUUAAUCGGAAUUAUUGGGCGUAAAGAGUACGUAGGUGGUAUAUUAAGUCAGAUGUGAAAUACUUAAGCUUAACUUAAGAACUGCAUUUGAAACUAAUAAACUAGAGUUUUAUAGAGGGGAGUAGAAUUCCAAGUGUAGCGGUGAAAUGCGUAGAUAUUUGGAGGAAUACCAGAGGCGAAGGCGACUCCCUGGGUAAUAACUGACACUGAGGUACGAAAGCUUGGGGAGCAAACAGGAUUAGAUACCCUGGUAGUCCAUGCUGUAAACGAUGUCAAUUUGAAGAUUGUAAUAUUAUUAUUUUUCUAUAAUUUCUCGUAGCUAACGCAUUAAAUUGACCGCCUGGGGAUUACGACCGCAAGGUUAAAACUCAAAUGCAAUUGACCGGGGACCCGCACAAGCGGUGGAGCAUGUGGUCUUAAUUCGAUACAACCGCGAAAACACCUUACCUAACCUCCUUUGAACAUUCGUAAUAACGUU